UGUUGAUUUGAUGGUCCCUUGCCACUACAAGAAAAUGCGUCUUUGUUGGCGCAAUUUUUACCGGUGGCCAUCUAUAAUUGCCAGUGAUGAUGAGAAUCACUGGCGGCCGUCCAAAAAUGCCCCUGAUUUUGGUAUGUGGCCGCUGGUAAAUGUUAGCUAUUUAAAAAAAAAAAAAAAAAGCGCAAAGGGUUUUUCAUUUCCCUCUCUAUUUGUUCCUCUUUCCACACUCUCCCUUCUCAUCUCUCUCUCUCUCCUCAUGCGCUUCUCCCAUCUUGGAUUUGGAACUUUCAAUCUCCCAUCUUACCUCCAAAUCUCAUUCUCUCUUUUAUUUCUCUUCCUUUCUUCUCAUUCUUGGGUUCUUAGAUCAGAUCUAGAGCUGCAAAUCGAGUAGGGCCGGCAACCUGCGGACGUGGUCAUCAACGGUGAGCAAUCAAGGACCCUAAUCAACGGCCAGUGGUUAACGGCCAAGAAAAUUGAUGUCCAGCAUCUGAUCCGAAGAUCAUUCCAACGGAUUGAGGAUCACGCUUGUAGAUUGAGGCCUCCUAGCUCGUUCUCUUCGAAGCAGUCCUUUCAUCGAUCUCUCUCCAAUAGUACUGAAGAGAAUAGAAGAAAUCGGACGAGGCGCUCGAAGGAGGUUUGCUAAUUUCACACACACAUAGUGGUCCCAUCCUCUCUGAAGUUCCAUCUACCACCGAAGAAGAAAAAGAAGGACUAGAGAUACAAGAGAUUUCAUCUACAUAGCUCCAGCAAAGGCAAUUUAUAUCAUCUAGAGGCAACCCAUCAUCCAACAAUGAAAUUCAAAACCUUUCUUGAAGCACAUGGCAAUACUCACCGUUUCUCUGUCCUCAUACUCAUGAGCAAAUGGUCUUGUUGAUUCUCUAUGGUGGCAAAUGCCCCCAUCCCACCUCAGCUGUUAUUGUUAGUAAGGCGUUCUUGAUGAUCAGGGUUACAAGAAAAUGCGCUAUUCCAGGCGCCUAUUUUUACCGGCUAAUAGGGACAUGAAAUGGGUACAAAUCAUGAGAUUUCAAAUAUCAAAAUAGCAAGAAUGGAGUAAUUACUCAAUCUGGACUGUAGGCGUGAAUUAUCCAUCCAAACAGCACAUGAAUCAGUCAAGUAAUAUUUGUGUUCUGAAUUGGUCGAUCUUUCCUUUCUGCAGUCUGUUUUUCUAUUCUUUAUCAAUAAUUUUCAACCAGAUACUUGGACAGCUUUAAAGAGAACACAGACAGCAAGACCUGCUUGCACUGGUUGUGUGAAGUUAACUUGUUCAUGUUGAUGUGCCUGCAUAUUAGGCAUCAUGUGCUGUUGGAGUAUCAAAUAACUUCCUUGUGCGCUGUUUGGCCCAGAAGAAUGUCAGCUGAAAUUGGGUUGGUCGACGAGGCACAAGAUAUGUGUCGGGAUAGCUUGAGGUUUGGCAUAUCUCCAUGAAGAAUCAAGAUUGAAAAUUGUUCACAGAGACAUCAAAGAAAAAAUGUAGAAAUAUGUAAGGAAAAAAUGUCUUGAUGGAUAUAUGUUUUAUCUAUUUGCUUUGGUUUUGAAUAGAAAUAUGUUGUUGAUAAAAAGAACACAAGCAAUCAGUCACUGAGUGCUUCAUCCAUGGCCCUAAAAACCACAGCCAAAGAUUUCAUGUAGCUGUAGAUAUAACCCAGUACAUGAGUUUAAACGGCAAUAAAGAAUCAUGCACCAGUUGUAAAUUCAGAGUACCACUAUAAGAAUUAUAGAUUUGCUUUUCAACAUUAAAUAGCAUCCAAAAUUUCUGUUCUUGCUGCAGCAGACUGGAUAAAUUAUAUGAAUGCAAUCCCCAUCAAAAUCUGCACCCAGGGGAGCGCAAAUAAGAGGGUUGAUAAAAUAUAUGAAUGCAAUCCCCAUAUGAUGGACGGUCCACAUCAAAGGUGGGGCCUGCACAAUGAAUGACCCACAUCAAAGGUUGGGCCCAAAUAUUGGAUGGUGGAUGUGAGGGGGAACAGAUUUAAGAGAUAAUUGCUUAUGAUGUUGGAAACCAAACAUGCUUUUUUACCUUUUGGUUGAUAAAUAUGGUUACCAAACAUACUUAUCAGCUGAAUAAAUAGAAACCAAGAUAAGCUAUUUGUGGCAUACGUGGCCUAUCCAAAGUAACAUACGGUCCAAACGCCCCUAAGUGAUUUAUUUCAAGUGCAUGAAUUUUACAUUAGCCAACUUUGAAUGAUUGUUUCAAAGGCAUUGUUGUUUUUUAUAAAUAUUGCAGGUAUGCGGUUUCUGUUGUUUUAUAACAAAUUCAGUUGCUUGUUACAUCAAAAUUCCACUAAUGGGUAUUUUGCAGAUUUUAAAUUUGUGAUUGAGGUAAAUUGAAUUGGGUUUCUUUAGAGAUACACAUGUAGAACAGGUAUUCUAUCAUAGACAUUGUAUGCUGUAUACAUCCAUGUGCUCCAUGUGCUCCCUUUUCAUUCAGAAUUAAAUUCUUUUUUUCUACCUUUAUCUUCUUUGAUUAGAUUCGAAGUUAUGUUAAUUAUAGUGGAAUUGUAUUUUUUUUGUAAAUCUGGUUGACCCCUCUAUCCUAAAUUGAAGGAAGUCAUGUCUACUUCUUUCAACUCACCUCCUUGUUAUUCUCUCCCAAAUCCACAAUCAAAUCCAAAAUGCUUGUGAGUGGCUCAAAUUUUCUCAAGUGGAUAUUGAAUCCUAGCUUGGGAUACCAAUCGACAUGUCUUGUGAAAUAGGCUAAAUUUACACUUUAGACUGAUCUUUAGCACCUUCAGCAGUAGUGGGAUCCCAUACUCUUAAAGCUGCCCAACUAGAGUAAUAGUUAUAUUUACUUGGAGCCUGACAUGAAUCUGGAGCAGAAGAAGUACAAAUUAAGCUAUUUCCGGACUUUCAAGCACUACUAAUUGUGAGAUUCCAAAGCAUGACAGGCAUUCUAACUAUAUGUUUUCUGUGACUAACAGUCACAACCACUCACCAUUUAAAAAUCAACACGUACUUGUUGGAAGCAACAAAAUUGAGUUUAGUCUCUCUAUCAGGCGGGGAACUAAAAUAGCUCUUAGUCCUUCGAGGGUCAGGUUGCUACUAUAUAUUGUGGCAACUAAAUUUUCUUCAAUUCAUGACAAACAAGGUCAAAAACUCAUCCAGAUAAAGUCUACUUGUCCGGGGCAUUUCUUUGAAACAUAUAUAGGCUCCUAGUGAGUCACUGUGAAACUCAUUGGUUUUGGCCAAAUCACGAUGACUUAUGAUGGUUUUCCAUGAGUUGAACUCUAAAAUUGAGUUUUAAAACCUUGUUCACAAGGUACUACUAUUAUUUCUUCUGUGAGGCGAACAUCAUCUGAAUUCAGCUCUAUUUGAAGGAAAGAGGAAGAGUAACUUCUAUUAGGAAAAAGGAGAGACUAAUAACUUAGAAAAUUUCAUAGACCUUCAUCUAAUAUAAUGGUGGAUGAGAAUGUUGUUGAUCUGAUUCAUAUCUCAACCAUUCCUAAAUAGAAAUUUUGGUGUAGUGGGGGUUAACCUGUUGGAAGGGCUGAAUUUUACACAUACUUAAUACUUUGUAAGCUAUUAUAUGGGUGGAAGAAUCAUUGUUGACCCAACCUGGUGAAAGAAUCAUUGUCGUGUCUCUCGACAUGCUGGAGUAUUUCGUGGAGUACUUUGUAUACUUUGUUUUUCUAUUUCUUGACUUUGUAAGCUAAUUGCAUGAUUUAACUCCGUAUUUAUAGAUACAAAACAGGCUUCAAUAAAUAGUCGCGGAAAUCAUCCGUGAAGACAUGAUUCAGGCAAUGGAUCAACUCGAUCAUGAGAAUGGGGUGAGAUCAAAUCCCAGAUUGCUGCUCGGCUAGGAUGGAUCUCCUCCAAACCAUUUCAAAAUGGAAAACCAGGUUUGUAGGCAAUGAGGAUUAUCUAAUGUGAUUUUCUCUAAUAAAGAUAAAGGCUUUUAUUGUCACAUUUUCCAACACCUGGCUGGACGUGUUGAUUUUUUUUUCCUUUUAUUAUAACGGUUUUGUUUUGAUGGUGGUAUAUGAAGGACAAAGAGUGCAUGAGUGGUGUAAAAAUAGGCAGUGGCUUAGAUGAGUUGAUUUAUCAAGGCAGCAAUGGUAAGAGACAUCAUUAUUAUAAUUUCUUAUUUUGAUAGGUUGCAGCUUUUUUUUUUUUUUUUCUAUUUUUUUUUUUUUCCAUUUAUUUGUUUGUUUUAGGCUGUUGCAGCUUCAUCUUCCCAUGAAUAAUCCCUACCAUAGAUCGGAUUGACCAUUGAAAGUCACCGGAUAUGCCUCAUGUAAGUUUUGGAUUGGAAUUUGACCGUGUUGCUUAUAGUGAAUGGGCCCCUCCUUUCAUUGACUUUUAUGGGCAGGAAUGCGAUCUUAUUGGGGUGUUGAUUGUCAUAGGAUAUGCUAUCUAAAUCAAAUGAAAUGGUUGAAAUGUAAUUAAUUUAUUUUUAUUAUUUUGUCUUCCAGGUUGCCGGCCUAGACAGAUGAUAUAUGGCUAGAUGGAGGGAUUUCUUUUAUAUGUAUUCAGAACAUUUUCAAUACAUUAUUGUAAAUAUUAUAUGUUUUUCAUUGUAAAGUAAUACAAUUAUUUAGUAUUCAUUUUUAAUUGUGUUGUGCAAC